GGUGUCGUAGUAGUUAGGUUCUAUGGCUGCUAACCAAAAGGUCGGUGGUUUGAAUCCACCCGGCACUC
rnacentral:tRNA from 1 species